rnacentral:misc_RNA from 1 species
GAUGAAGAACGCAGCGAAAUGCGAUAAGUAAUGUGAAUUGCAGAAUUCAGUGAAUCAUCGAAUCUUUGAACGCACCUUGCGCUCCUUGGUAUUCCUUGGAGCAUGCCUGUUUGAGUAUCAUGAAAUCCUCAAAAUAUAUCUUUCGUUCAUUCGAUUGGUUUUAUUUUGGACUUGGAGGUCUGCAGAUUCACGUCUGCUCCUCUCAAAUGCAUUAGCUGGAUCUCAGUGAGCUCGGUUCCACUCGGCGUGAUAAGCAUCACUCGCUGAGGACACUGUAAAAAGUGGCCGGGAUUGCAGAUGAACCGCUUCUAAUCGUCUAUUAGCUUAGACAAUUAAAUCUUAUGAUCUGAUCUCAAAUCAGGUAGGACUACCCGCUGAACUUAAGCAUAUCAAUAAGCGGAGGA